GACGAACGCUGGCGGCGUGCCUAAUACAUGCAAGUAGAACGCUGAAGAGAGGAGCUUGCUCUUCUUGGAUGAGUUGCGAACGGGUGAGUAACGCGUAGGUAACCUGCCUUGUAGCGGGGGAUAACUAUUGGAAACGAUAGCUAAUACCGCAUAACAAUGGAUGACACAUGUCAUUUAUUUGAAAGGGGCAAUUGCUCCACUACAAGAUGGACCUGCGUUGUAUUAGCUAGUAGGUGAGGUAACGGCUCACCUAGGCGACGAUACAUAGCCGACCUGAGAGGGUGAUCGGCCACACUGGGACUGAGACACGGCCCAGACUCCUACGGGAGGCAGCAGUAGGGAAUCUUCGGCAAUGGGGGCAACCCUGACCGAGCAACGCCGCGCGAGUGAAGAAGGUUUUCGGAUCGUAAAGCUCUGUUGUAAGUCAAGAACGAGUGUGAGAGUGGAAAGUUCACACUGUGACGGUAGCUUACCAGAAAGGGACGGCUAACUACGUG
rnacentral:rRNA from 1 species